rnacentral:lncRNA from 1 species
UGAGUACUGAUUAACACAGAGGCACAGAAACAGGAUGCAAAUUUCGGUAGUCCAAAUCUCAUGAUUACGAUCACACUUGCCAAAGCGAAUAUCCCACUAAGACCUAAAAUCUAUUUUUACCGAACAGCUCACAGAGGUCCCAGUAGCUUAUUUGUUGGGAGUAUGUAAGAAUAUAAGAAUUUUUCAUUUCAUAUUUAAGUAGAAUACUCCCAGGUUUAAAAUAUCUUUAUGUCGCGAAGUACACGCCGGCGGCUCUGCUUCAUGACGCACGCAACCCAACCACCUGGCCACCGCCAUCCUGUUGCAUCAAUGCUGUAGUAGUGGACGAUGGCAUAAUCAUCAUAAAUGGGCAGCGAGCAACGGUCAGCGUUGACAAUGGACCCCUAAGGACGACAAGAGAGGCCCACCUCAUCACGU